GGCUCGGUCAGUGGCAGUCGCCGUUCGUGGAGGGGUCGGUCCGGGCAGUCAUUCUCGCCGGCGACGCCGCCCUCGGCUUCUUCGUACAGAGUCGCGGAGGCAUCGUCGUUCUGCACGGCGACGGACGGCGCACCGGUGGGGUCUGCGAGAAGUUGAUCCAGGCUACGAGGAUGACACCGGUCCACCCACGGUUCACCACGUGCCCCCUCCAAGUCCCAACACGGGGUUUGAGCAGGAAUUCGCGUCCAUGACUAGGGAACUUCUUUCAAUAGCCACACGGAUUGCAGAGUUAGUACGCAAAAACCCCAUCCAAGCUCGCAUGCACCCAAAUUUCCAAACGAUCGCCAUCGUGGCGAAUUUGUUGAGGGGGUUAAUACCGGAGCCGACGGAGGACACACCCCACCCCAACCCCGAACCAGCUGAGGCACCAGCCACGACAUCUGGCCAUCAGGACGACGCUCUUUCGCAGGACACGGAGUUUUAAAGCCACAUGUCCGGGCAUAGGUGAUAUAGAAAUGAACGCCUUCGGCUAGUGUUUUAAAGCGGCGUCCAACGACUGGUGUAAUUGCCGUGUCCACAUUUGUAUUUAAUAGGAAUGGUGGUUAGCUCCGUCGUACUAUACGGCACACCCCCACCCACGCUCUCCAACUCUUUGCAAUUAAGAAAUUAGGCCGCUGUGUUCACAACACAAAACCAGGUGCAUUGCAAUUCAUGCACAAAU